AUGGUUCUGGAGGACGAGAGCAGCGACGACAACUCAAGCCUCCCGUACAUGCCCUCCGAAACCUCCACCGAUGGGCUGAACCAGGUGCCUUUCUCUCUUGAGGACCCGGAUUACAAGGGUCUUGAGCUAGAUCUGAUAGUGUUGUGCGAGAAGCAUGGGAAGCCAUCAGAGAGGCUUGUUGCGUUCGAAGGAACAAUGACUGGGAGAAGGAAGGUCAAAAUUGUGGAGAGCAAGUCUGCUAGGGUGAAUGAUAAUCUUCGAAGUGCUCUAACUAUUCAUCAGUUGACAGAAGAAAAGAACAAGCUGGAUGCAGACUAUGACAAGUUAGUGAAAGAUGUGCAUCAACUUGUGGACUUUCAGCAGGAUAGGGUUGUGGAUUUCAGUUAUCUGCAGUCUGCUGUCACAUAUCAGCACCAAUGCAGAGCUGAAUUGGUGGCUGGUAUGAAUGCAGAAAUGGCAAAGAAAGAUGCAGCUGCACAGAAGCUUCAACAAAAGAUGAAUUUGGAGUUGAAGAAUGCAGAGUUCACAAAGUUUGAGAAGAAGCUCACCCAAGAGAAGCUAGAGUUGAAGCUCCAGGUUGCUGAUCUGCUGAAGCUCAAGGAAAACCAUAAUGAAGAGAAGCAGAUGCAAGAGUUUAAGAUUACUGAGCUCAUCAAGGCAGAGGAGAAGCUGAAGGAGAAGAUCAAGGGGAUCCAGGCCAUCUUGCAGAACUGA
rnacentral:rRNA from 1 species